CCAAAGGCUCUUUUAAGAGCCAAUGAAAGUUUCUAAUAGGGGCUGU
rfam:Pongo abelii chromosome 6.